ACGGGAUUUUGCAUUAAACCAUAUUUCCAAUUUUUUUUCCAAAGGAAGAGAUUAAACAUGAGAAAAAAGAAACUCACCCUAAGCACCCAACUGAUUUAAAAAAAAAGUCACCUGUUACCGCCUCCAAGGACCCUCAUAAAUCUUCGAUACAAAACCCUCUACCAAACCAAAGGUCAUGUAUAUGUAUCAUUACACCUUUUAAUGCCCUACACAACUUUACCUAUUUCAGUGCAUUUGAUUUUCCGUAUCAGCCAGAUGUUCCUUUGCCUGCAGGACUGGUACUUCCAGGAGAUGAAGUAGAAGAUUCCAGUCAGGAGGACUUUCCACUACAUAGCGAAGACAAAUGGCAAGACCUUGCUUUGCACACUAUCAAAUGAAACCGGCUAG